rnacentral:rRNA from 1 species
CAUGGCCCAACCCUUGUGGGGGGAGUGGUCGAAGGUGGGACUGGCGAUUGGGACGAAGUCGUAACAAGGUAGCCGUACCGGAAGGUGCGGCUGGAUCACCUCCUUUCUAAGGAGCA